GGGAACCGAGCGAAAAGACUA
rnacentral:miRNA from 1 species